rnacentral:rRNA from 1 species
AUUGAACGCUGGCGGCAGGCCUAACACAUGCAAGUCGAGCGGCAGCGGGAAAGUAGCUUGCUACUUUUGCCGGCGAGCGGCGGACGGGUGAGUAAUGACUGGGAAAUUGCCCAGUCGAGGGGGAUAACAGUUGGAAACGACUGCUAAUACCGCAUACGCCCUACGGGGGAAAGCAGGGGACAUUCGGGCCUUGCGCGAUUGGAUAUGCCCAGGUGGGAUUAGCUAGUUGGUGAGGUAAUGGCUCACCAAGGCGACGUUCCCUAGCUGGUCUGAGAGGAUGAUCAGCCACACUGGAACUGAGACACGGUCCAGACUCCUACGGGAGGCAGCAGUGGGGAAUAUUGCACAAUGGGGGAAACCCUGAUGCAGCCAUGCCGCGUGUGUGAAGAAGGCCUUCGGGUUGUAAAGCGCUUUCAGCGAGGAGGAAAGGUUGAUGCCUAAUACGUAUCAACUGUGACGUUACUCGCAGAAGAAGCACCGGCUAACUCCGUGCCAGCCGCCGCGGUAAGAC